rnacentral:lncRNA from 10 species
AUCUUUGUGUAAUAGCUAUCUUAUUUAGGAACCAGAUGGGAAGCAGGUUUGCAUAAGCCAGUUCCCAGCUUGGCUUUUCCCUUUGGCUUAGUGAGUCUGGGGUCCCAGGAUUUAUUUUCCGUUCUCACAGGUUGUGGUCCUCACAUUUGGCUCAAAAUAUUCAAAAUUUUUUCCAGAGUUUGGCCUUUUCUUCAGCACUGGGAAUUGUGAUCCAAAGCUUUUCCCUGAGCAGACCUGCAUGUCUGCGGUCAGCUGGGUUGGCAGAGACAGAGUGACUGUCUUCCUCCAGGAAGCAGCAGGUUAACUGGUUGGCAGAGACAGAGGGACAGAGGGACUGUCUUCCUCCAGGAAGCAGCAGGUUAACUGGUUGGCAGAGACAGAGGGACAGAGGGACUGUCUUCCUCCAGGAAGCAGCAGGUUGGCUCUGGUUCCUUCGUGGGGCAGCUGGUCUCUAGGGCAGCAAGAGAGACCAAGCCCCCGUGCACAUUCUACAGCCUCUGU